rnacentral:lncRNA from 1 species
UCGUCACGUUUUCAACAUAUCGCAGGACAUCUACCGAAGAAUAUAACGAAAUAUGUGUUGUUCUAUGUAUACAUUUUAUGACUAUAUGAUAGCCUUAUAGCUGUCGAGCUAUAAAAUACAGCAGCUAGUCUCGCGAUCUACUAUAGCAGAGGUAUUGGAAGAAUUUUUCACAUGAUAAAGUGCGAACAAUCUGUAGAAUGCAAUGUUAAAGUUUGAAUUUGAUUUUUUAAGGUCUUAAGCUCACGCGCGUAACUCUAAAAACUUGUUCGUAAUCCUUUCGCGUUGCAAAUUUCAUCUUUGACGCGGCCAGGAGACCAAAAAUAAUACCAAUUGUGUUUAGCGUACUUAAGAGACACUAUAUACUACAGAAUCAACGACUUAAAUAUCAGGAAUAAACGAGACAAGAUAUGCUUAAAUUACAGCAGCACUUUGCUUGUUAAUGAAAGACAGUUCGAUUACUUUCAUCGACAUAUUAACGAACAUAACGAUCUUUCGCAUCGUGGUGUCCGAAUUAGCACGUAACAUUCUGACGAACCAUCUCAUCUGCUUAACAAUCAUCAUCUUCCGUCUCGCCGUCGUAUUUCACCGCCUUCGUUUCUAUCUUCCAACGGAACGAAGCAAUUCACGAGAGUUGCAGUUCCAGAUAGCAGCCUCGUAUCGUAUAAUCCGACCAACGAGAAAACAAGCGAAAGAA